AUCGCUUCUCGGUCUUUUGGCUAAGUUCAAGUGUAGUAUCUGUUCUUAUCAAAGCGGAGAGCCACUUGGUGUGCUAUUUGGAUCAUGCAUGCAAUAUUAAUCCUUGAGAGCACUGCUCUCAAAGUCAGUAAGGAAAAACAGGAGCUGUUUUUACGGCUAUCUAAU
rnacentral:snRNA from 1 species